UCGGUCGCAAAAGGCAAAAAUUAAUGUUUUUUGAGGAAAGUCCGGGCUCUACAGAGCAUGACGCCGUUUUAUACCGGUAAAGGUAACUUUAAGGAAAGCGCAACAGAAAAUAUACCGCCGUAUCGAAUUUGAAGUUUAAUAUACGGUAAGGGUGAAAUAGUGAGGUAAGAGCUCACUUAGGUGCUAUGUAAAUAGUGCCUAUGGCAAGCCCCGUCAGGAGCAAGAACAAAUAGGAAGGUAGGGGCUGCUCGCCCCAUAUGCCUUCGGGUUGUUUGCAAAGAGAAAUGACCGACCUUGAGACAGAACUCGGCUUAUGAUUUUGCUU
rnacentral:RNase_P_RNA from 1 species